GGGAGGUUUUAUAAAAAUGUGUUUUUUUCUGCCUGGAGAUAAUGGAGUUAGUGCAGUCCAUGACUCAAUUAUCUCCCGGGUACAGAGGAGGGAUUAUCUGAUUAUGUAUGGGAGUGUCCUGGAUCUGAGAGCCAAUGUGGUUGUGUAAUUGUUUAUAUUGUGGUUUACUCUCAGGUCCAGGGGGGAGUGUCCCUUGCAUAUAAGGCCAGUUGUGGCUCCCAUUAAAUGAGUUCCUG